AAAAAAUCUUCGCGCGAUGAGAAAACAAAUCCACCGAGCGGCUCACCCUUAUCCCUAACCUCCCACUCCCCCACCUCCUCCUCCUGCCGCUACCGAACACCUGGCGCGCGCCGCCGCCGGUGACCUCGCGAGCCCCAUGAUCCCCAAUCUCCCCUACAUCUUGCGCGCACACACCCCAAUCGAGACCUGCAGCUGGCGACCUCACGCGCCGUCAUCGCGGCCCGCCCGGCCGUUGCUCCUGCUGGCGCGACCCGCCGCCCGCAUCUGGCCGGUUGAGCCCCUGAGCCCCUGAAUCGUCGCGCCACACCUCCAGCUAAGUAGCUUCCUUUUGCCACGUCUCCAUUGGCCGUCCAUGGUGCUAUCUCUUCGGCCGCUAGUUAUUACUACAACUGAGCAUCUUCUCUUGCAGAGAUCCAUCGACAUUCCUUGCUGAUGGCUGCCCGAGCUAUGAGAAUAAUCGGCCUCCAACCGCCUCGGCCGCUCACCAACACGCCCACCUGCAGUUCAGCACACAGCCUCCUCCCAGUGGGGCCCAUCACGCUCAGGUCGUUCGUCGCUGCCACCUCCGGUCGUUCAAUUACGCAGCCCUAAGACGCUCACUGCCAUCAGAAACAGCGACGAGCACGAAGACACCUUCUCAUGCUCAGUGCUAUCUCCCUCAUAACACAAGAAGUUCAUGUAAAACUGUUGCAAAGGUUCAGGUACAUCAAAGAAUAUACUCAUGUGUGCAUAUAAAUGAGUUCUCACCUACCUAUUUUGCUCUCGGUGGUGCUGCUGUAGUUCAGCUUGCGUGUGUGAGAGAGAUUAGCUGAUGUUUUGUCCUUGUUUUUCUAAGAGAGAUUAGCUCGCCCCUCCUCCAUAGAUAGCCUACACCAGCUGCCAGAACCCGUCCAGGUGCUGGUCAUCAUCCUCGAUCUUCAAUUACGGGUCAGCAACGGCGCUGCGAAUAGAAAGGGCCCUGUGAAGUUCAAUUUGUUUUUCUUUCCGAAGUUCAGUUUGUUGAUUUUCUGAAGUUUGGAUUGUUGAUUUUUUUAAGAGAAAGGUUGCUUCACUUGCACUCCUCUAUCUAAUCCUAUGUGGUGAUCUCCUUGACUCCUCCUCGGUUCGGAGCUAGCGGCGGUUCUUCAGCUUCUCUGCUGCGUUGUCGCGAUUGUUGCAGAGACAAAUUUUAUACUUUGUUCAUCUACGGUGCCAAGUUGAGCGGACACCGUAGCACUCGAGAAGAUGGGAGAGGAUGUGUGGUGAAGAGGAAACAUAGGGUUUCAAAUUGUCCAUUGGUGGUAGCAUCUAAUCAUUUUACCAAAGUGUAAUGGACAUGUGUAUGUAUGUAUAGUAGCAUAUUUUACUCGAACCGAGUUAAUUUUUUUUAAUGCACGAAGUUUGUGCAGCCAAAAAAACAUGUAUUAAACUGGUUUUUGUGUGUUUUCUAACCUUUUCUACACCUUUC